rnacentral:rRNA from 1 species
UACGUAGGAGGCGAGCGUUGUCCGGAAUUACUGGGCGUAAAGAGCGCGUAGGCGGCGCCGUACGACACCCGUGAAAGCCCCCGGCCCAACCGGGGAGAGUCGGGUGUAACGGCGGUGCUCGGAGUGCGGAAGAGGGGAGUGGAACUCCGGGAGUAGCGGUGAAAUGCGUAGAGACCCGGAGGAACACCAGUGGCGAAGGCGGCUCCCUGGUCCGCGACUGACGCUGUGGCGCGAAAGCUGGGGGAGCGAACGGG